rnacentral:rRNA from 1 species
AACGAACGCUGGCGGCAUGCCUAACACAUGCAAGUCGAACGAGACCUUCGGGUCUAGUGGCGCACGGGUGCGUAACGCGUGGGAAUCCGCCCUUGGGUACGGAAUAACAGUUAGAAAUGACUGCUAAUACCGUAUAAUGACUUCGGUCCAAAGAUUUAUCGCCCAGGGAUGAGCCCGCGUAGGAUUAGCUUGUUGGUGAGGUAAAGGCUCACCAAGGCGACGAUCCUUAGCUGGUCUGAGAGGAUGAUCAGCCACACUGGGACUGAGACACGGCCCAGACCCCUACGGGGGGCAGCAGUGGGGAAUAUUGGAAGAUGGGCGCAAGCCUGAUCCGGCAAGGCCGCGUGGGUGAUGAAGGCCUUAGGGUUGUAAAGCUCUUUCGCCGGUAAAGAUAAGGCCGGUACCCGGAGAAGAAGCCCCGGCUAACUUCGUGCCAGCCGCCGCGGUAA